rnacentral:lncRNA from 1 species
CGGGGCCGCGCGCCAACAUGGCGGUGCGGCUCCUACAGGCCUUCCGCCCCCCGCGCCUUGGGGUCUGCACCGACGGCCGUGCUCUGUGUUAGCUCUGCCUUCCCCUUCCAGUCAAAAAAGUACAACCGUAACGAACGCACUUUGAAUGUAUCAGUCACGGGUUGAGCGGGUUUCUGGUUUUUACGCCGUUGCUUGUGCCGGCCGGUGGCGGCUGCUGCCGGCCUUGCCAGGGCGGCUGGCGGUGGGACCCUGGCCAGGCUAGAGGGGCCUGUAGGGCCCGGCGUGGCGGGCAGGUACACGGGUGGGCACGUUUCUUGGAAAUGGGCCCCUGCGGCGGGGUAGGAGGAGAGCUGUGCGCCUCUCCCAUACGGCUGUGGUGGCUCCGUGGGAUUAAGGGGAGCGAAAACGUCAGUGUUGCUGACCCAGAUCCCUACGUCCUCAAACACCGAUACGACGUAAUGCAAUGUUUUCUGAAGCCUGCCAAGAGCCAACUGGUGACAAAGCGGGAUGAAGACCCGGGCAGCUGCAAAUAUUGAGAAAGAGCUGUCUGACUGAAUUUCAUUAUUUUGAUAGAGCCAUAACAUGACUUUUCAAGACGCUCAUUCAAAAUGGUGCGUUGCCCCCAGCAACAGAACAAACUCAGCACCUCGUAGUUGAAUCCUGCGUAUGGAAACAUUCUGUACAAACACCACCCCAGGUCAAGGGACAACGUAGGGAGGAACGGAGACACUCGGUGGAAGCUCAGGUGUGGACACAGGCACUCUGUGGGCCAGGUCUGAUUGCAGCACUCUUGAGGAGAGGCUUAGGAUGCAAGUGACACGCACCACUCACCUUUAGCCAGUGGCUUGGCAGUGCAUCUCCCGCCCCCUGCAGCAGAAACUGGGGGUGGGUGGGGUGUCUUAUUCACCAGAACAGCAGGAUCUGGGGCACGCAGGCACCGGCUGAAGGGCAAAGAUGGACUUGGGUACUUCAGGCCACACGAGUGAGUGGAGAACCAAAAUCUUCACCCUGUCAUUGGUGAAGACAAAACCAUUUCAGUGACCUCAGAAGCUGUGAAGAAAUCUCAUUAGUUUUAUUAGGUCAUAUAAAGAUAUGAGACUUAUAGUUUGGACUCUGGAAAAUGUGCAGCAACAGUAAUACUUUGACCCCGGUCCAUAUGCCAGCAUGGCGUGAAGCGUACAUUAGGGGCUGAUCCUGCACCCUCUGCGUGUAAUGGACUUUGGUGGGCACAACAGGUUUUUCAUUGGUGUAAUUUGACAUCAAGGAAAUCACUGCUGAUUUACUCCGGGCAUAACUGAGGAGAGGCUUAGGCCUCCUGUUUUUAAGGCGUUUGAAGAACAUACCGAGUAUCCAUUAUAGACACAAAUAUAGGGAUAUAUAUGUAUAUGCAUGUGGAAAUAUAUGUACACUAUUUCUCUACAU